GUUACUCCAAUAAAUUCGAAUAAAUUUACGAACGCAAUCGGAAGAAGAAUGAUUUCGUGCGAAUCCGUCAUAACGUCUCGCGCAUGCGCGGAAAUUUUUCUCGAGCACGCGUCGCGCGUCGCUUGUCUCGUUCAUUUCCAAUUGAAUCUCUCAAGAGAUAGGCUGUGCUCCAAGUAGCUCCAAGAAGUGCUGGAUUUAUAGAGCCUCCUCGCUAUCACUUCGAGCGUCGAAGAGCACCCGCUAUAAGUAACUCGCUCUUAUCGCAAUCACAAUUUUAAUGAAUAUUGGAAAAGAGAAUUUGUAUAAUAUGUAUACAAAUGGCGAGAUUUAUCCUAAUGAGAUUUUUCUUAAAAUCAGCGAUUCAUAUGUUCAUUUGAAAGAUGGAUGAUUGCAGCUUCUAAUUAUAAAAUGAAUUAUAGUACAAGAAAUAUAUAAAUGGGAAACAAUGGCAAGAAUUUUUUUUAUUGAUAUGCCGCGCAAUUGCAACAAGUGCAUUAUACAUUGAAGUUUCUUAUGAAGAUUUCAUGAUCGAUAACAACAUAUACAUAUGUAAUCCACAUUGGCAUUAUUUGAAGAUACAACAAGAAGAUUAUCUUUGUUACAGACUCAACAAAUACUACUUUAAUAUUCAAAUGAAAUCUUUCUAAUAUAAAGAUGAACAUAAGAAACAAGAAAUAGAAGAAAUGAUGUACAAUAAAUAAUAUGGAUUAUGGACAAGUAAUAAAUAGCAAAAGAAAAUA